rnacentral:tRNA from 1 species
UCCCUGGUGGCCCAGUGGUUAGGACUCUGCACUUCCAAUGCAGAGAGAAUGGGUUUGAUCCCCGGUCAGGAAA